ensembl:sense_intronic 1700129L04Rik RIKEN cDNA 1700129L04 gene
GUCUGAUUCCAGGGAGGUCGUCCUAUAGCUGGGCCUUGGAGAUCUGUGCAGUCAUUGCUCCAGAGCAAUUACCCAUCAUAAGAGGAGCUGAGUUAGUGACAACACUUUGAGGGAGAUGAAGUAGACUGUGGCCAAAGCUUCAUCGAGCAUGCUACCCUGUUCAGAUGUGACCAGACCUAUAGAAUCCUGAGUCUUGAGGCCUCCUCAAAACCUACUGGACCACUACAAGAGAAUGCCUGGGGGAACUGAACAAAGGUCACACAAAGUCGAAGCUGUAUGUCAAUGUGCUGCAUAUCUUCACCUUCAGAGAAGCCUAAAGGCCAACGUCAGCACCAGCCAGGGGAAUGACAGUGUAUCAUCUGCAAGUCUGAGAUGCCCUUGCUUGUUCGCAAGUACAGCUGGCUCAUACACCACAGGCACGUUCUUUGAGACAAAGCUAGAGGAAAUCAGGCCAGACAGAACAGUGAGUCCGGCUAUUGACUCAGCAAGAACAUCGCUGCAAAAUCUCCUAGGAAGUUGCAAGGCCAGCAGUUGUCUUAAAAAUAGUGACCAGUUCUAAGAGAGGAUAGAUAAACAAUAAACAAUGGUGGUGUUCUGGGGUCUUGAAUAAUCGAGUCGGCAUCAAGGGGUUAUCCACUAAAAGUUAUUUACUGCCAUUGUCUAUUUCAUAUUUCAUAUUGGGUCAUUUUGGUGACCAAGAGGGCAGUCAGAGUGCACUGGAAGGCUUAUGAGCCCCCCGGGUAACGUAAAGCAGGUUGAUCCCACUCCUGCCUUUCCUACUAAGUGCUUGGAGAGCUUCCACACGUUAGACAUGAAACCGGACACUGUGAGAAUUGAUUGGCCCACAGGGAGAAGAGAGAAGAAAUCAUUCUUAAUAGCCCUAGUCAGUCAGUGCUGAUCUUAGGCCCUCAAUGGCAAAGGAACACCAUAAGUAGCCACCAUGGAGAGAAGAUGAGUGGCUAGCUCUGGCUUUGUAAAUACAAAUUGCCAUGUGACAGUGAGGGUUGUUU